rnacentral:rRNA from 1 species
GACGAACGCUGGCGGCGUGCCUAACACAUGCAAGUCGGACGGGAUUUGGGGGCAACUCCAAGUUCAGUGGCAGACGGGUGCGUAACACGUGAGAAACCUGCCCAACGGUGGGGGACAGCCGGCCUAACGGCCGGGUAAUACCGCAUACGCUCGUUUGGGGGCAUCCCUGAGCGAGGAAAGCAGCCGCAAGGUUGCACCGAUGGAGGGUCUCGCGGCCUAUCAGCUAGUUGGCGGGGUAACGGCCCACCAAGGCGACGACGGGUAGCUGGUCUGAGAGGAUGGCCAGCCACACUGGGACUGAGAUACGGCCCAGACUCCUACGGGGGGCAGCAGUCUAGAGGCUUCGGCAAGUGGGGCAACCCUGACCGAGCGACGCCGCGUGUGGGAUCGAAGGUCGUUUUCGUUGUAAACCACUGGUUCCGGGGGAAGAAUGCCCCGAUGGCGAAUCGGGGAGCGACCGGUACCCCGGAAGCAAGCCCCGGCUAACUCCGUGCCAGCAGCCGCCGUAAU